rnacentral:rRNA from 1 species
UGAAGAGUUUGAUCAUGGCUCAGAUUGAACGCUGGCGGCAGGCCUAACACAUGCAAGUCGAACGGUAACAGGAAGCAGCUUGCUGCUUCGCUGACGAGUGGCGGACGGGUGAGUAAUGUCUGGGAAACUGCCUGAUGGAGGGGGAUAACUACUGGAAACGGUGGCUAAUACCGCAUAACGUCGCAAGACCAAAGAGGGGGACCUUCGGGCCUCUUGCCAUCAGAUGUGCCCAGAUGGGAUUAGCUAGUUGGUGAGGUAACGGCUCACCAAGGCGACGAUCCCUAGCUGGUCUGAGAGGAUGACCAGCCACACUGGAACUGAGACACGGUCCAGACUCCUACGGGAGGCAGCAGUGGGGAAUAUUGCACAAUGGGCGCAAGCCUGAUGCAGCCAUGCCGCGUGUAUGAAGAAGGCCUUCGGGUUGUAAAGUACUUUCAGCGGGGAGGAAGGUGUUGUGGUUAAUAACCGCAGCAAUUGACGUUACCCGCAGAAGAAGCACCGGCUAACUCCGUGCCAGCAGCCGCGGUAAUACGGAGGGUGCAAGCGUUAAUCGGAAUUACUGGGCGUAAAGCGCACGCAGGCGGUCUGUCAAGUCGGAUGUGAAAUCCCCGGGCUCAACCUGGGAACUGCAUUCGAAACUGGCAGGCUUGAGUCUUGUAGAGGGGGGUAGAAUUCCAGGUGUAGCGGUGAAAUGCGUAGAGAUCUGGAGGAAUACCGGUGGCGAAGGCGGCCCCCUGGACAAAGACUGACGCUCAGGUGCGAAAGCGUGGGGAGCAAACAGGAUUAGAUACCCUGGUAGUCCACGCCGUAAACGAUGUCUACUUGGAGGUUGUGCCCUUGAGGCGUGGCUUCCGGAGCUAACGCGUUAAGUAGACCGCCUGGGGAGUACGGCCGCAAGGUUAAAACUCAAAUGAAUUGACGGGGGCCCGCACAAGCGGUGGAGCAUGUGGUUUAAUUCGAUGCAACGCGAAGAACCUUACCUGGUCUUGACAUCCACAGAACUUUCCAGAGAUGGAUUGGUGCCUUCGGGAACUGUGAGACAGGUGCUGCAUGGCUGUCGUCAGCUCGUGUUGUGAAAUGUUGGGUUAAGUCCCGCAACGAGCGCAACCCUUAUCCUUUGUUGCCAGCGGUUAGGCCGGGAACUCAAAGGAGACUGCCAGUGAUAAACUGGAGGAAGGUGGGGAUGACGUCAAGUCAUCAUGGCCCUUACGACCAGGGCUACACACGUGCUACAAUGGCGCAUACAAAGAGAAGCGACCUCGCGAGAGCAAGCGGACCUCAUAAAGUGCGUCGUAGUCCGGAUUGGAGUCUGCAACUCGACUCCAUGAAGUCGGAAUCGCUAGUAAUCGUGGAUCAGAAUGCCACGGUGAAUACGUUCCCGGGCCUUGUACACACCGCCCGUCACACCAUGGGAGUGGGUUGCAAAAGAAGUAGGUAGCUUAACCUUCGGGAGGGCGCUUACCACUUUGUGAUUCAUGACUGGGGUGAAGUCGUAACAAGGUAACCGUAGGGGAACCUGCGGUUGGAUCACCUCCUUACCUUAAAGAAGC